GAAUCUUGGUCAAUGGGCGCCAGCCUGAUCCAGCCAUGCCGCGUGAGUGAUGAAGGCCUUAGGGUUGUAAAGCUCUUUCAGCGGGGAAGAUAAUGACGGUACCCGCAGAAGACGCCCCGGCUAACUUCGUGCCAGCAGCCGCGGUAAUACGAAGGGGGCUAGCGUUGCUCGGAAUCACUGGGCGUAAAGCGCACGUAGGCGGCUUUCUAAGUCAGGGGUGAAAUCCUGGAGCUCAACUCCAGAACUGCCUUUGAUACUGGGAAGCUCGAGUCCGGAAGAGGUGAGUGGAACUGCGAGUGUAGAGGUGAAAUUCGUAGAUAUUCGCAGGAACACCAGUGGCGCAGGCGGCUCACUGGUCCGGUACUGACGCUGAGGUGCGAAAGCGUGGGGAGCAAACAGG
rnacentral:rRNA from 1 species